AGAGUUUGUCCUGGCUCAGAGUGAACGCUGGCGGCGUGCCUAACACAUGCAAGUCGAACGAGAACGGACUUAAGUUUACUUAAGUUGUCAGCUAAGUGGCGCACGGGUGAGUAAUAUAUAGUUAACCUGCCUCAAAGAAGAGAAUAAUUGUUGGAAACGACUUGUAAUGCUCUAUAUGCCUUUAUCACAUAAGUGAGCAAGGGAAAUAUUUAUAGCUUUGAGAUGGGACUGUACGGUAUCAGAUAGUUGGUGAGGUAAUGGCUCACCAAGUCUAUGACGCCUAACUGGUUUGAGAGGAUGAUCAGUCACACUGGAACUGAGACACGGUCCAGACUCCUACGGGAGGCAGCAGUGGGGAAUAUUGCACAAUGGAGGAAACUCUGAUGCAGCAACGCCGCGUGGAGGAUGACACAUUUCGGUGCAUAAACUCCUUUUAUUAGGGAAGAUAAUGACGGUACCUAAUGAAUAAGCACCGGCUAACUCCGUGCCAGCAGCCGCGGUAAUACGGGGGGUGCAAGCGUUACUCGGAAUCACUGGGCGUAAAGAGCAUGUAGGCUGAUUAGUAAGUUGGAAGUGAAAUCCUAUGGCUCAACCAUAGAACUGCUUCCAAAACUGCUUAUCUAGAGUAUGGGAGAGGUAGAUGGAAUUUCUGGUGUAGGGGUAAAAUCCGUAGAGAUCAGAAGGAAUACCGAUUGCGUAGGCGAUCUACUGGAACAUUACUGACGCUGAGAUGCGAAAGCGUGGGGAGCAAACAGGAUUAGAUACCCUGGUAGUCCACGCCCUAAACGAUGCACACUAGUUGUUGCUAUGCUAGACAUAGCAGUAAUGCAGUUAACACAGUAAGUGUGCCGCCUGGGGAGUACGGUCGCAAGAUUAAAACUCAAAGGAAUAGACAG
rnacentral:rRNA from 1 species